UAAUCUCUCCUACAUUCACUCUCUCUCCUCUCCCUCAUUUUCUCCACUGCUCAUCCUCCCUCAUCUCAACUUCACCGGAUCUUCGAGCGUCAACGUCUCCAACCACACCUUCGAGGACGGACAAAUUUGUUGAGGUAUAAAAUUAAAUAAAUAAAUGGUUUGUUUAUUGGGUUUUAAAUUAGGGUUUUGUUAUUGAAUUUGAUGAAUUUCUUUGUGUCGUGCAAAUUAGAUUGGUUGGCAUCUUAUUAAUUUAUUGGGUUUUAAUUUGGUGAAUUCCUUGCGGAUGAGAAUCAUCAUUCUUGCUAUCAGAGAAAUCAUCGGUCCUUUUAUCACCCUAAGCAUUUCCGUCAAUUAAAUUAAUUUAUGGGUUAUUUUUAAGUGUAUUUUACUAUGUAAUCAUCACAUUUGAUCGUGUGUAGGAUCUGAAAGGAGGAGAGGGAUAAUCGUUGGUGUAGUGGUGGUCGGUGUCGAGCAAGAGUGGGAGGGACGACGACGGUCCUAAGGAUCUGAUGCGGGGGGAGAACGAGGGAAUAGGAAAGAGAUCAUUCUGGUUGUUUUAGGGACAAGGAUUGUCAUUUUGUAAAACUAACGAAUGUGUUAUUGGAAUUGAGAAAGUUUCAUUAACAUUGCACUGUAGCUCCGCAUGUUUUGAAAAAAAAACUGUUUUUUCUUAGCUAUGAUUUGCUGCUUCAGGAUUUUGGCUUUUUUUCACCCUCAACGGUGAAAAAAAGAUGAUUUUAGUGUGUUUACCAAACAUUAAAAAGACCCCAACUUUUUUCAUACCUUUUUUUUUUUUUAUAAUUUCAGUUGUGCCAAACUGGUACUAUAUAAGCCAAACUAAAUUGGGACUUGUAUUAGAAUGAGGUAAGUGAUACAGGAGUUUCUACACUAACAAUCUAAUGCUGAUUUUGCAUAGGUUAUAUUCAUAAUUUGCCAAAAUGUCUAAUUGUUAUGCUAAGGACAAUUAAUCAUGCACGUGUAUGAGUGAUUGUCAAGUAUUAAUGUAUUGUAAGACUAACAUGCAUCAACGACUGACAGUCACUUAUACACAGUGAACGACUGUUCAUAGCAUUCUAUAACACUUUCUCAUUACCCGUAUUAUAGUCCACCCUCCUUUGAUUAAAAACACAAGCUAAUGUGGUGUUCACAACAUGUCUAUAGGCAAAUGAGCCUUAAGUUUAUGAUUGUAUAGUAAACAUGCUUUACAAGCCAAAUUAAAUUGGGACUUGUAUUAGAAUGUGAUACGUAAUACAGGAUUUUCUACACUAACAAUCUAGCUAAUGGCUGAUUUUGCAUAGGCCAUACUCAUAAUUUGCCAUAAUAUCUAAUCCUAUGCUAAGGACAAUUACUCAUGCACGUGUCUGUUGAUUGUCAAGUUGUCAACUGUUAAUGUACUGUGAAAUUUACAUGCAUCAACGGUUGACAGUCAUUCAUACACAUGUGAACGACUGUUCCUAGUAUUCUAUAAUGCUUUCUCAUAAGUCAUAUUUGACUCCACCUUCCUUUGAUUAAAAACACAAGCUAAUGUGGUGUUUGUAACAUGUCUGUAGGCAAAUGAGCCUUAAGUUUAUGAUUAUACCCUAAACCAUGAUAGGCAUGCAGAGUAAAUAAUGGAACCAUUUCCAAAGGCUUUUCAUUGAGAACCAAAGCCUCUGGUGAUUGAACUCUUGUGCUGCGUAGGGCAUCGUAUAUAUUUAUAAUGCCUGUUUCCUCAACAAAAACAAUGAAAUAAAAAGAACCUCUUGAGACUAGGGUGGGCAUCGGGUGGGUUGGUUGGGUUAAACUUCAAUUUAUUGGCCAACCCAAUAGUUUCGGAUGACAUUGUUGUAAUCCAUUGCCAGCCAAGAAAAUGGGCAAACUAACCCACCCAAACCAUUAUUUCAUGCUUAAUGUGCGUAUGAGUGACAAAUAAUUAAAAAUGGUUAAUUAUAUUUAAUACCAAUUUCGUAGUUAAUUAUUAGGUUUAAUCCUGAAUAUUUUGCUUAUAAAUUUAGGUCCCUUGAAAGUCAAUUCAACUAAGCAAUUUUCCUAUUUUGUAACGAUAAGGUUCACCAAAAUCUAUUAUAAAACAGAAGAGGUCCAUUAGAAAGCUGAUCAAGUUAAAUUGGAUAACUUUAUAAACCCCAUUACUGGUCCAUUGCCAACCACAUACAAAAAAAUUUGUAGAUUCACAACAAAAUUUGAAACGAAGGAUUGGCUGUUUUCAAGCCUGUGGAGAAGUUUUAGUAAGAAUCGUUUUGCCACAUAUUUUAGCUUAAAAAACAAUACCUAGUGACAGAAUUUUGUCGAAAGCAUAUCAGGUGAUGUAUAAAUACAUUUUUUAGGGUUCAUCUCUGUAACACAAUUAUUGCAUACUUAUUCUCUUACUUACUACUCAAGUCUCAAAUAUUGCUUACUAACUUAACUGUUGGAUAGUCUUUGACCAACACCCCACUGGUCCUAAAAUUGGUUAAGAUUGUUUACUGUUUUACAGAUAAUUAAGUUUGUGCAUCUCCAACCCUCACGGUGGUGCACGAAUUUGAUUCCAACCAAACUCGUUUUCUACCUGACUGUAAAAGUAUGAAGUAUCAUCAAAAGAAACACUUCAAUUACUUUGAGCACUAGAAUAUUUUUUUUUUCUCAAAUAGUACAAACAUAAUAUGAAACAUAAGUAAUUAUUGGCAAACCCAAAAAAAUAAAAAAGUACAUCUUAUUUAUCCACGUUAAUUUUGUUUUCCACCUUUAUUUUGUUUGGUGACAUGACAUCAAGUAAAUAGUUCCACUUAGUUUUCAAAAGUUUGUACUUAUAAUUCCAAUGAUCUCAAAAGUCCAGUCGCUUGACUCACUCCUCCUAAUAAAAGAGAAAAGAGAUGCCUUUUUCAUUGUUACCAUCUAAAACAUCGAAAAAAA
rnacentral:lncRNA from 1 species